GACGAACGCUGGCGGCGUGCCUAAUACAUGCAAGUAGAACGCUGAAGAGAGGGGCUGGCUCUUCUUGGAUGAGUUGCGCACGGGUGAGUAACGCGUAGGUAACCUGCCUUGUAGCGGGGGAUAACUAUUGGAAACGAUAGCUAAUACCGCAUAACAAUGGAUGACACAUGUCAUUUAUUUGAAAGGGGCAAUUGCUCCACUACAAGAUGGACCUGCGUUGUAUUAGCUAGUAGGUGAGGUAAUGGCUCACCUAGGCGACGAUGCAUAGCCGACCUGAGAGGGUGAUCGGCCACACUGAGACUGAGACGCGGCACAGACUCCUACGUGAGGCAGCAGUAGGGAAUCGUCGGAGAUGGGGGCAACCCUGACCGAGCAACGCCGCGUGAGUGCAGAAGGUUUUCGGAUCGUAAAGCUCUGUUGUAAGUCAAGACCGGGUGUGAGAGUGGCAAGUUCACACUGUGACGGUAGCUUAACAGAAAGGGACGGCUAACUACGUG
rnacentral:rRNA from 1 species